rnacentral:tRNA from 1 species
GGGGAUGGAGCACCGCUGGUGUGGUGCACGGUCUUCAAAACCGCUGUGGGGCAGGUAAGAGCUGUCCCGGGUAGGUUCGAUUCCUACGCGUCCCCGCCA